UACGUAGGGUGCAAGCGUUAAUCGGAAUUACUGGGCGUAAAGGGCGCGUAGGCGGCCGAUCAAGUCGGGGGUGAAAGCCUGUGGCUCAACCACAGAAUUGCCUUCGAUACUGUUUGGCUUGAGACCGGAAGAGGUUAGUGGAACUGCGAGUGUAGAGGUGAAAUUCGUAGAUAUUCGCAAGAACACCAGUGGCGAAGGCGGCUGACUGGUCCGGUUCUGACGCUGAGGCGCGAAAGCGUGGGGAGCAAACAGG
rnacentral:rRNA from 1 species